ACGCUGCUGUGUAGAUGUACCCUUGAUAAUUACCUGUUCUGUUCAUUCCCUCUGGGGGCAGCUAGCAUUGGCCGUUGUUGGAAGACAUGAUACUGGGUUAGAUGGACCUUUGGUCUGACCCAGUAUGAACUUUCUUUAUGGUCCUAUGUAAAUCAUCUUAAUUUAGGGCCUUAUCUAACUCCUGUUGAAAUUGAUGGAAAGCCACUCCCUUUAAUUUCAGUGGAAAUUGGAUUGUGUCCAUAAAGUCCCAUUCUUUUCACCUUGUAGUCAAUGGGAAUAUUUACUCUGACUUCAGUGGGUUCAGGAUUGGAAGAAUCAAUCCUUUGUAUCUUACCAUAUAUGUCCCAACACCAAUAACAUAGUUCAUUUCCACUUGAAAUUGAUUUAAUAUAGUGGUAUAGUAGCAAGGAGAUCUUGGUUUCUAAAAUAGGAUAAGACCAGUUUCACUCAGCUUCUAGGAUAAAUGUUCUUGCCCACAGUAGGGUGGAAAAUUGGCUAAAUGUUGUUCCACGUGAUAAAUGACCCCAAAAAAUGUUGAAAAGGCAGAUUUAUAUCACACAAAGUAACAAAUUAACAUAUUGUGCCAAAAUACUAUAUAGUAGUUCUUCUUUUUGAACAUUUUCACUAGAAUUUCUCAGUCUAAACUAUCUAUACAUACAUAAGCCUAGAGUCAGUUUUCCCCCCUUAGGAAAAAAAACAAUUUUAACUACAUUUAUCUUAACAGAACAGACAAAGCAGUAUAGCAAAUAAGUGGCUCAGUAAUGGAUUAGUAAUAGGAUCUGAAGCCUUUUUCAUCUUCCUCUCAGGUUUGAUUUUAGCCCAGGUCAUCACUAAUGACAUUAUCAUGUGGCUGCUAUCUUAUGGCCUGGGAAAAGCCCAGGUGGUCUCCAUCUAGCAAUUUCUCCUGUAUCUGAACUCAUUAAGAGCAUCCAUUAUAUUGCAACGGGAGAGGUAUUUGGCCCUGAGCUCCUAAUGGAAAGAUGUCCUCAGCACAAAAUCGCCAUGGCAGUUGGCAUUCCAUUACAUCUUUGAUAGCAUUCUCAAGAGAGAGACCAAAACCUGAGUGGGCACAGAGGGUGAAGUGUGCUCCCAAAUGUAGGUCCCUCUAGGUGCAGAGUGAAGCACACUGGAUGGCUUAGAGGAGUGUGAAUUAUCCCCAUGGUACCUGAUCUGUAAAUAAACAGAGAAUUCCAAUCUCCAAGGAUGCCCAGCUGAUAUCUUUCCUGAGCACUUUUACAUGUAGAUUUUGUUUCACAAAUUAAUCAGCUUCACAGCCUACUUGUGUCUUUCUUUAACAUCCUCCUACUUGGGAUAUCACAUGUUCACCUGGGCUGAUGACUCUCUUCUCAGUGCUGCUCCCAUUGUGUCCCUUCUCUGCAACCUGUGCCUGUGUUCCCUGCAUACUACAAGGGUGGUUACACAGAAAUCCAGGAAGACCCUGAAACACUGUACGGGCUUAUGAUGGUUCCUAAAAUACAGUUGUGAAUAAAGAUCAAGAACACUCUUGCAAAGCCUAAACUGCACGCUGGUGGUUUUCCAAAAUUUAGAGAAAGCAAGAAAGCAGCUUUUGUAUAAAAUAGUUACAGAAACCAUGAGUUUCCCUUGUCCUGGCACUAUUUGUUACCUUCACCCUGGCUACAGAUUGCUGGAGGUAGAUGAGGCUAUUAAACCUCGGAAUGUUUUUCUAGUCAGGUGGAGAAAGCUGGGUAGAAAUCUCCCUCUUUCUCCCAACCCUUGCCACUUAUGGAUGGGGGUCUAUUAAAAAGGAAACGAGUUAGUUUACACUGCAGAUUGAAUGAAAGCAUUAAAGGUCUGCAUUGGAAUGACUGCAGUGUGGGAAAUGGUUGCCUCCAGUGGAAAUGGAAUGUGGCACGAGUACUUUUCAAAAAAGUGCAAAGAUUGUUCAAGUGCCCUGGUCUGAUUUCUCACAAAAGUUGUCCACGGCUCUUUUACUGUUAGUGUUGUUACAGGGAGACUUUUUAACUGCUACAGCAAAGGCGGAAGAGUGCAUUGCAAAUAGAUGAAGGGCUUCAGUCAGCCUGCACGCAGACGCUCUUUGAGGCUGUAGCCCUAGGACUGGGUUCGAUUUUGCAAGGAAGCAAAAUUUACCAGUUAAAAUCAAAAUAGGAAAAGGGCUGCAGUCCCAUUCUAAGCUAUAUCGCUGUGACAUAUGCCCCUGCUAAUCGUGUAACAUGGCUCUUGGCCUGAGCAGGUUGUACGUCGACCCAACAAGCAGAAGCAUACAGGCUUUUCUGCCUUUCUUUGCUUGAGCAGAGAUGUUUCUGAAAUGACCUCUCUGCGAUUUCCAUAUUCCUUGCGGGAGGAGGAAAGGUGGAAAUUCUUGGUGUGUGGGGGAGGCAGGGGAUUGGGGAUCUCCUUUGGUACUAGUUCAUCACAUAGGUGGGAACAAGAGCUAAACACGCAGGUGGUAAGUCCGAUUCCGGCUCAGGCAAGCAGUUCCUCCUUUCAUAACAACCUCGCUCGCACAGGCUGCUCCCAGCUGCUGGUAAAUCCCGGUUAACUCCUGGCCCUUGAGUAGCACUUUGGAAGCAGCUCUGCCUUGGAAGACGCCUCUGUCUCCCAUCUAAGGAAUCUCCCCUCCCUCCUCGAAGAUCCCCCUAGUGCUGAGUUGUUACCUGACACGCUGGCUGGUUGCAAUCCUUCGCCCGGUGAUCUGACUGCAGUACCCUACCUCCAAACUGCAGACUUAGCAUCUAGAACCCCAGGGAUUCUCCUCGCCCCCUCCCCCGCCCCGGGCUCUUUCGCCGCCUGCCUCAGACUGAGAUACAGCAGCUAGGUCUGCCCUCCUUUCCCCGCACUCACCGCGGCCGGGUAAAGGGCGGGGGGCUGAAGGGAAAUACCCCACCUCCCGCGGACUCAGGGAGGAUCCAGGCAGAGGUUGCAUCGUGUAACAUCCUGUCAGAGGGGAGGGGAGACAGCAGGAGGAGCAGCCCACCGCGGUACUUCUGGGGACCAAAUCCUUUCCUGCUGCAUCCGAGUGGACUCCGGUUUACAAUGAAAGGGGGGGCGGAGUGUCCUUGGGAGCUUCGGCCGACAGACUUUGACUCCCAGUGCUCUGUACUGUGAUACUGAGGGGCCAUGCAACCCUUCUCUAUUUGCAUUCAAAUCCACCGUCGUCCCCCCAUCCUCCCCCGUCCCCUCGGCCUCACCCUUCCCGAUUCGGCUGCAGAACUUGAAGAGACUGACAAGCCUUAUGUGGUGCCAUUGCUCAGAGUUGCUGGACUGGAGGAGAGGGGGAAGUCAAGGUUAGGGCAUUAGGGAUGCAGAACAAAAGAGUUCGACUGUCGCCCAGCCUUUGAGAGCAAAGCUCUCAGCCCGGAUCGGUAGUAACCGCGCUCGUUUGCUACUUUCCCAAUGAAAAUCGUUAGCCCAGGAAAACUGAGCCUGAUUGCAGUGGUCAGCACUCGCAAGCGGCCUUGCGAACAGAUGUAUUGAAAUGGGCGCUGUGGGGUGGGCCAAAUCACAGCCCCUGGGGAAUGUAUUUCUAACCCGAGGGCGUUGCUAAGGCAGCUGAGAAAGAAAGACCCGUGGCAAGAAUCACAGGCAUUCACAUACAAUCGGCUUCGGUAUUUCCUCCCUCUGAUUUCUUUAGAGACCUAAUAAAACUGUUCCCACUUUCUUAUUCUAUCCCUCCUCCGCCCCGCAACCUUUUGAGAAGUAGCAAGUGCCUGUCGCCUGACAGCACCACAUUUUGCUCCUGAGAGCUGCAGAAAGUGAAUGAUGCAGCGUUUUAAUUAGCAAGCAGUGCUGCUUCCAUAUUGAGCGCUUCGGAUGUUUAAAAGAAUCUGGGGCUGUAAUUGAUCCGAGGAGACGGGAAGGGGGGAAGGAGAGAGGAGGGGGUAAAGCAAUGGGGGGAUCGCCUGGUCUUAACAGAGCGGGCGCAUGUGUGCUCCUGACAGCUGGGCUUUUCGCCUAACUUUUUGAUACCAACCUGCUGCCUUUUCAAGGAUUCCAGCCAAGCCGCUCUCCGGCAUGCGGAGCGGAGAAAGGGAAACGGUAGAAUAACAACGUUAAAGACUCGGUUAAAGACCAGACCGAAGGCUACGACUCUCUGGACCUGGGCGCUAUGGCUUGCAGAAGGGAUGGUAGAUGAGCCGCCUGCUUGGAAGCUCGCGUGUAGCUCCCAACAGAGUUUUGUAAUCAUCCACAAAUGAUGAAACCUUCCACCACAGAGACUCUCCACAAAGGAAGGAUGUUGUGGGUAAUUCUUCUAAGCACAAUUGCUCUAGCAUGGACUACACCAAUUCCCUUGAUAGAGGACUCAGAGGAAAUUGACGAGCCCUGCUUUGAUCCAUGUUACUGUGAAGUAAAAGAGAGCCUUUUCCAUAUACAUUGUGACAAUAAAGGAUUUAUAAAUAUUAGUCAGAUAACGGAGUCAUGGUCAAGACCUUUUAAACUUUAUCUGCAGAGGAAUUCCAUGAGGAAAUUAUACACUAACAGUUUUCUUCAUUUGAACAAUGCUGUGUCUAUUAACCUUGGGAACAAUGCACUCCAGGACAUUCAGACAGGGGCCUUCAAUGGGCUCAAAGUGCUGAAGAGAUUGUACCUGCACGAGAAUAAAUUAGACAUUUUCAGAAACGAUACUUUCCUGGGUUUGGAAAGUUUGGAAUAUCUGCAGGCAGAUUACAAUGUCAUUAAACGGAUUGAAAGUGGGGCAUUUCGAAAUCUGAGUAAACUGAGAGUCUUGAUCUUAAAUGACAACCUUAUCCCCAUGCUUCCCACCAACCUUUUUAAGUCUGUGUCCUUAACCCAUUUGGACUUGCGGGGAAACAGAUUAAAAGUCCUUUCCUACCGAGGGAUGCUGGACCAUAUUGGGAGGAGCCUGAUGGAAAUUCAGCUGGAGGAGAACCCUUGGAACUGUACCUGUGAGAUUGUGCAGCUGAAAAGUUGGCUGGAACGGAUACCUUACACUGCCCUUGUGGGAGACAUAACCUGUGAGACCCCCUUCCAUUUCCAUGGUAAGGACCUGAGGGAAAUCAAAAGGAGUAAACUCUGCCCCAUGCUGUCUGACUCUGAGGUCGAGGCGAGUCUGGGGAUUCCUCAGUUGUCAUCAAGCAAGGAGAACGCAUGGCCUACUAAGCCUUCCUCCAUGCUAUCCUCCUUCCAUUUCACUGCUUCCUCUGUCGAAUACAAAACAUCCAAUAAGCAGCCCAAACCCACCAAGCAACCCAGAGUGCCCAAACCUCCCCCUACAUCCCGAGGCCUGUAUCCUGGGCCAAACCAGCCUCCAAUAGCUGCCUAUCAGACAAGGCCGCCCAUCCCCAUCAUAUGCCCUACUGGGUGCUCUUGUAGCUUGCACAUCAACGACUUGGGCCUGACAGUCAAUUGCAAGGAGAGAGGCUUUCACAACAUCUCCGAGCUCCUGCCCAGGCCCCUGAAUGCCAAGAAGUUGUACCUGAGCGGCAAUUUGAUCCAGAAAAUCUACCGCUCGGAUUUCUGGAAUUUUUCUUCCUUAGAUCUCUUACACCUUGGGAACAAUCGCAUCUCCUAUGUGCAGGACGGGGCUUUUAUUAACCUGCCUAAUCUGAAGAGCCUGUACCUGAACGGCAAUGACAUAGAAAGGCUGACUCCAGGCAUGUUCAGGGGCUUGCAGAGCCUGCAUUACCUGUACUUCGAGUACAACCUAAUCCGGGAGAUCCAGCCGGCAGCCUGCAGCCUCAUGCCCAACCUGAAGCUACUCUUCCUCAACGACAACCUGCUGCGUACGCUGCCCACCGACGCCUUUGCGGGCACCUCCCUGGCCAGGCUCAACCUGCGGAACAACCACUUCCUCUGCCUGCCCGUGGCCGGGGUGCUGGAGCACCUCCACGCCAUCGUGCAGAUCGACCUCAAGCUCAACCCCUGGGACUGCACCUGCGACCUGGUGCCGCUCAAGCAGUGGAUCGAGACCAUCAGCUCGGUGAUCGUGGUGGGGGACGUGCUGUGCGCCAGCCCGGAGAACCUCACUCGCCGGGACUUGCGCUCGGUGGAGCUGGAGGCGCUGUGCCCGGAGCUGCUGCGCGCCGCGGCCGCCUCGCCCGCCCCGCCGGGGGGCAAGCCCAGCCCCCCCAGCCCCUCGGCCUACGAGCUCUCCCCGGCCGGCGCCGCCGCCGUGCCGCUCUCCGUGCUCAUCCGCAGCCUGCUUGUCCUCUUCUUCUCGGCCGUCUUCAUCGCCGCGGGGCUCUUCGCCUUCGUGCUGCGCCGGCGGCGCAAGAAACUGCCCUUCCGCAGCAAGCGGCCGGAGGCGGGGGACCUGGGCGGCAUCCACCUGCAGUGCCACCGCUUCUUCGAGGAGGGCGGCCGGGCCGCAGCCUCGCCGGAGAAGGCGCCCCCGGUGGGGCACGUCUACGACUACAUCCCCCACCCGGUGACCCACAUGUGCAACAACCCCAUCUACAAGCCCCGCGAGGGGGAGGCGGAGGGGGAGGCGGGCGGCGAGCGCCUGGGGGGAGGUGGGGCGGGGGAGCCGUUCGCCGAGCCCGGCCAGCCGGAGAACAGCACCCACUACCGGACCUUGCUGGAAAAGGAGAAGGAGUGGAGCCUGGCCGUGUCCGGCUCGCAGCUCAACACCAUCGUGGCCGCCAAUCACCACCCCGCGACCGGUGGCGGCGCGCUGGCGCUGGAGCCGCACGAGAAGAACGGCGGGGUGCUGCUCUUCCCGCCGGCCGGCGCCGGGCUGGACCGAGAGCGGCCGCCGCCCUGCGCCGUGGGCUUUGUGGACUGCCUCUACGGCACGGUGCCCAAGUUAAAGGAACUGCACGUCCACCCGCCUGGCAUGCAGUACCCGGACCUCCAGCAGGACGCCAGGCUGAAAGAAACGCUGCUCUUCUCGGCCGGCAAGGGCUUCCCAGACCAAACCCCCCCAAGCGAAUACCUCGAGUUAAGGGCCAAACUCCAAACCAAGCCGGAUUACCUCGAAGUCCUGGAGAAGUCAACCUAUAGGUUCUGACCAGAUAGCUUUUCUCCCCUCCCUUCCCCCGCCAGUAGCGCCCCCGGCCCGGCCCCUCUCCAGCCCUACUGCAGCCGCAUGAUGAGAAUAGAGAAUCCAGCUGUGUGCUCUCCCCCACCAGAAGUGUGUGUUUGGAGACAGGGCCGUUCUCAGAUCAUUAAUCAAUGAAGUGCCUUCGCAGACUUGCCAGCAGAUGUUAAUCAUUAUUUUUUAUACUGAAACUGAGACUUUGACUGUGCCAUGUCUAAGGUACAUUUGAGGCAAGCCUGGAAAUGAUUUUAUUUUCCCUGAAAGUAGGAUUAUUCAGGUGGUGAGAACUUCUUCACACAGCCCUGCUAUUCCACCCUGGCUUAUACAAGGAGGGCCUGAUUCAAAGCCUAUUGAAGUCAGUGGAAGUAACCCUAAUUCGUCAGUGUGCUUUGGAACAGACCCUCAAAUUGACUAACUACAGUAGACAUCAUCCGGUUCCCACUGAAGUCAUUGACUUCGGUGACGCAGUUUUGGGGUCAGUGUGCCGAGCUCAAACCAGCUGGAGUUUUGUCUGUAUAAGGAGUCAUGGACACAACAGACACCAUCAGACUGCACAGAUGAUAUACUAGACAUGACAAGAUGCAUCCGUUUCUAUAAAUUCAGCUCUUGAUACCCCAGUUGAUUAAGCUUCAUAUUUGACUUACACAGUCCACUGUGCUUUUCAAAACACUAUUUAGAACAGUAUUCAAACAAGAAAACUACAAAAGGAGCACAAUGACAGCUGAGACAUGAGAUUGGUCCAAGUCAACAAGCCUCUAGAAAAGACAACACAAAUAUUCAGCACACAGACCAUUUAUAGUUAUGAAAUGAUUUAUUGAGGAUGAACCUGGUGCCAUUUGUCACAUCUGCAUCCCUUUCAGUAGUGAUGUUUAAUCUCACAUUAUUGUUUGUAAUUCCAGUAUAUCUCUGUAUACUCCUGCAAAUUAGCAUGGUCGUGUGGUCCUGUUGUUCGAAGGAUUUUGUCAUAGUCAGGUAGCCAAUGAUCUGCUGUUAAUAUUACUACAAUAUGUUACUCCUUAAGACUCUUAUACACUCUUUAACUUACAAGUCAUAAGAAUCACAAGACGUAGUGACUGAAUACAUGGGGUGAAAUCUAUAGUUGAUAGUUUCAUAACUAUUUGGGGGGCUAUCACUACACAACCCUCAUGUAUUUCAAUAGGAGUUGGGUAGCUACAUUCCAUAGAUAAUGACCUAAGUCAACUGAAAUCAGUCUCUGUUGACUUCAACAUUGCCUGGAUCAGGCUCUAUGUGUCUUUGAAAAUCUCAGCCUGUAAAUAGGAAAAUGUGCAGUCAAUAUAUCUAUGUUCUGGAUGGCUGCUACAGUUUCCAAAUCAACACAAAGACAGCAUAGUGUAUAUUGAUACUGAAACCCUUGAUUAGAAUGUCUGAAUGAGAACAAUUUUUAAGUAAAGUACAUGCUGCCUAUGUUGGUGCUUAUUAUUUAAACAUAUCUCUCCUACAGUUAAUUUUCUGGAAUCAAGUCUGUUUUCUAAUGGGAUGGGGAGAAAUAUAGGCAUUAAUUAUAAUGUUUUUAUGUUUCCCCUAACUUGCUAUGUUAACUAUUGUUUAACAGUCUGGAUUACAUUCUGGGAGUUAGGAUUUCGAUUUAGCAGAUAAGCCUGGUUAUUGUUUGUGCUAACGUGUUUCUUUAAUUUAGACUGUGCCCUGUCUGUUCCUUUAACUGUUCUGAUUAUUCCUUUACUAUUGAACACAAAUGCUUCAGUACCAUGAGCAUGUUAAAAUAAAAGAUUAAAGUUAACAAACCAAUUAUGUGUUGUCAGGCUGAUUACUUUUAAGAGAAAAACCAUUGAGCACA